rnacentral:rRNA from 1 species
UGGGAAUAUUGGACAAUGGGCGAAAGCCUGAUCCAGCAAUGCCGCGUGAGUGAUGAAGGCCCUCGGGUCGUAAAGCUCUUUUACCCGGGAUGAUAAUGACAGUACCGGGAGAAUAAGCUCCGGCUAACUCCGUGCCAGCAGCCGCGGUAAUACGGAGGGAGCUAGCGUUGUUCGGAAUUACUGGGCGUAAAGCGCACGUAGGCGGCCAUUCAAGUCAGAGGUGAAGCCCGGGGCUCAACCCCGGAUUGCCUUUGAACUAGAUGGCUGGAAUCUUGGAGAGGCGAGUGGAAUUCCGAGUGUAGAGGUGAAAUUCGUAGAUAUUCGGAAGACACCAGUGGCGAAGGCGACUCGCUGGACAAGUAUUGACGCUGAGGUGCGAAAGCGUGGGGAGCAACAGGAUUAGAUACCCUGGUAGUCCACGCCGUAAACGAUGAUGACUAGCUGUCCGGGCACUUGGUGCUUGGGUGGCGCA